rnacentral:rRNA from 1 species
UACGGGGGGGGCAAGCGUUGUUCGGAAUUACUGGGCGUAAAGGGCUCGUAGGCGGCCAACUAAGUCGGACGUGAAAUCCCCAGGCUCAACCUGGGAACUGCGUCCGAUACUGGAUGGCUUGAAUUCGGGAGAGGGAUGCAGAAUUCCAGGUGUAGCGGUGAAAUGCGUAGAUAUCUGGAGGAAUACCGGUGGCGAAGGCGGCACUCUGGGCCGGUACUGACGCUGAGGAGCGAAAGCGUGGGUAGCAAACAGG